rnacentral:RNase_P_RNA from 1 species
UAAGUGAGUUAGGUGAUCGCGGGGAAACCUGAGGAAAGUCCGAGCUCCAUAGGGCAGGAUGCUGGGUAACACCCAGUGGGGGCAACCCUAAGGCAAGUGCCACAGAGAGAUACCGCCUAUUUGUUAGGUAAGGGUGAAAAGGUGAGGUAAGAGCUCACCGGCGGUUAGGCGACUAACCGGCCAGGUAAACCCCAUCCGGAGCAAGGCCAAAUAGAAGAAGUAGGAACUGCCCGUUCCGAUUAACUCUUGGGUUGGCUGCAUGAGGUAUUAGGUAACUAAUAUCCAAGAUAGAUGAUCAUCCUAGACAGAACUCGGCUUAUUGAUUCACUUAGCAG